ACAAAGACCAACUCUUCUACCAAAAAAAUCAUUUGGUAUUUUAACUCCACUACCUAAUGAAGAACCAACACCUAAAAGAACAAUUUCUGUUGAAGACAAGUCUACGCCACAACGUAAGAAUUUCUUCUUCUACCAAAGAAAACAAACACUACAAGAAAUUGGAUAAUUAGUGGUGACAUUUAGCAGCAACCCCAUAAGUUGCUACAAAUGUAUAUUAUCAGCAGCGACUUUAAAAGUCGCCACAGUUUGUUUAUAUUUUGCAGCGACUAUUCGUAGGUCGCCUCUAAAAGUGGCUGAAAUUUUCACUCUUACUAAAAUUAAAAUUUUGGCUCCAUAUUUAUUGUGGCGACUUUUGUGAAGUCGCCGCUAAAUAUGUAUUGCAGCAACUGGGUUGCUCCUAUUCCCUUUUAAAAUAACAAAAGAAAAUAAUUAGUAAAUGAAACACUAAAAUUGGUCCAGAGACAGAAGCAGCGAAACUCUCAUCUCUAACACAUCGAGUCGAUGUAAAGAACAGUGAAGCGCCCAAAAUCGGUCCUCUAUAGCUAGAAAUCCCAAAUCGCAACCCUAAAUCGGUCCUCUCUAGGUAGAAAUCUGUCCAGAUAAUAGAAAUCCCAAAUCGAAAUCCCUUAAAAAUGUUACCCAAAUCGAAAUCCCUCAAAUCAGAAUGUGAAUUCGAUUGGGUAUUUAUGAUACUUGCCGGACACUUCAUUUUGAAGCUAAAUCUUAAGAUUGGAAGCUGGAUUUGUGAAUCGAGUUGUGCGAAGAAGUUGUUGCCGGGUUUGAAUUUGUGUAUAGAGUUGUGUGAAGAAGAAGACCACUAUGGACUUUCGAUUCAAAGCUUCUUCAACUUCAAGUAUUCAAGAACUUGUACACAGCUGCGGAAGUCGGCAAAGGACAAGAUAAUAUAGAAGUGAAAUUUUAAAAACUUAGAUAUGAUGGAUAAAAGUUGGUUGAAUAUUAGGAAUAGAGUCGACCAAAGAUACAGAGAUGGAGUAGACAACUUUCUUAAUUGGAAAUUCAGUCAACCAACGGUGAACACUAUGAUUCGGUGUCCUUGACAAUAAAUAGUUCUGAAACACGGAGAAGUAAUGUGGUUAAAGGUCAAGGAUAAGUUUGAAGUUUGCAGCGGGUUGCGAGAGCAUAGGUUUAAGGUCUUUGUAAUUAGCACUAUGUAAAGGCUUUUUAGAGCAUGAAAAGCUCGACUCAACAUUCUGCACUCUAAGUACAAUACUAAUGAAGAAAGAUUGUCUCAUCAACCUGAAGAUGUUGAGCUUGAGGACUGGAAAUACCUAAUACAAUAUUUUGGAAGUCCGGAAUUUAAGAGAAAUCCUAUUACUGGAGAAUUGGACACACCAGAUAAAGUUUUAGAGAUCCAACAUACACGCAAGGAUGAUAGAGGCGAACUGGUGUGGUUGGAUUCACAAUCCCAACAAAUUCAUGGUCAACUCUAGGAAGUUGUUGCUCAGCAACAAUCUGAGGAGAUCGAGCAUCCCAUGACUAGAGAUGAAAUUUUAUCCUCCGUUGUUGGUGAGAGAACAUGCUAUGUUCGUGGAAAAGGAUACGGAAAGAAGCCUCCUAAAAAGAGUAACAUUCAGUAGUCAAACAUAGAGGCCAGUGUGUCUUCUGCUAUUGAUAUUGUGCGCCAGGAGAUGCAAGCCGAGAUGGAUAGGAAGUUGAAAGAAGAACAUGAACAAAUGGCUGCUGAGUUGCGAAGAAAUAUGGAAAUUGAGUUGGAAAGGAAGUUGGCAGAGGAGAGUCAACACACAAAUGCAGAAACAGACAAGAGGAUCUCUCUAGAAGUGGAGAAGAAGAUGCACAAAUAAUUUGCUAGUUUCUUGACCAGAAUGCAACAACAACAGCAGGGACAAGACACUUAAACAGUGGUUCAAGCAUGGUGUCGAGCAAGGAGCAGUUACAAGGCACUUAAUAUUUUGUCUUUUUUGGGAUAUGUAUAUGCGUACAAUUACAAUGCACAAUGAAGUGUCGGGUAGUAUAUAUGUAAUUGACUUUUUAGUAAUGAUAAUAUUUGUAAUAUUCGGCUUGAGAAAUU